rnacentral:rRNA from 1 species
AUACGUAGGGUGCAAGCGUUAAUCGGAAUUACUGGGCGUAAAGCGUGCGCAGGCGGUUUUGUAAGACAGAGGUGAAAUCCCCGGGCUCAACCUGGGAACUGCCAUUGUGACUGCAAGGCUGGAGGGCGGCAGAGGGGGGUGGAACUCCGCGUGUAGCAGUGAAAUGCGUAGAUAUGUGGAGGAACACCGGUGGCGAAGGCAAUCCCCUGGGGCUGCAGUGACGCUCAUGCGCGAAAGCGUGGGGAGCAAAGAGGAUGAGAUACCCUGGUAGUCCCCGGCCUAAGCGAUGUGAACUGGUUGUUGGGGAUUUAUUUCCUCAGUAACGAAGCUAACGCGUGAAGUUGACCGCCUGGGGAGUACGGCCGCAAGGUUAAAACUCAAAUGAAUUGGCGGGG